AGUGAACGCUGGCGGCAGGCCUAAUACAUGCAAGUCGAACGGCAGCACAGUGGAGCUUGCUCCAUGGGUGGCGAGUGGCGGACGGGUGAGGAAUACAUGGGAAUCUGCCCAGUCGUGGGGGAUAACGUAGGGAAACUUACGCUAAUACCGCAUGCGCCCUUCGGGGGAAAGCCGGGGACCUUCGGGCCUGGCGCGAUUGGAUGAGCCCAUGUUCGAUUAGCUAGUUGGCGGGGUAAAGGCCCACCAAGGCGACGAUCGAUAGCUGGUCUGAGAGGAUGAUCAGCCACACUGGGACUGAGACACGGCCCAGACUCCUACGGGAGGCAGCAGUAGGGAAUAUUGGACAAUGGGCGCAAGCCUGAUCCAGCCAUGCCGCGUGAGUGAAGAAGGCCCUCGGGUUGUAAUGCUCUUUUGUCCGGGAAGAAAAGCAUCGGGCUAAUACCUCGGUGUUCUGACGGUACCGGAAGAAUAAGCACCGGCUAACUUCGUG
rnacentral:rRNA from 1 species